rnacentral:rRNA from 1 species
UAAGCGGAGGAAAAGAAACCAACAGGGAUUGCCCUAGUAACGGCGAGUGAAGCGGCAACAGCUCAAAUUUGAAAUCUGGCCUUUGGUCCGAAUUGUAAUUUGUAGAGGAUGAUUUUGGUGCGGUACUUUCCGAGUUCCCUGGAACGGGACGCCUUAGAGGGUGAGAGCCCCGUACGGUUGGAUGCCUAGCCUUUGUAAAUCUCCUUCGACGAGUCGAGUAGUUUGGGAAUGCUGCUCUAAAUGGGAGGUAAAUUUCUUCUAAAGCUAAAUACUAGCCAGAGACCGAUAGCGCACAAGUAGAGUGAUCGAAAGAUGAAAAGCACUUUGAAAAGAGGGUUAAACAGCACGUGAAAUUGUUGAAAGGGAAGCGCUUAUGACCAGACUUUUUCUAGGCGGAUCAUCCGGUGUUCUCACCGGUGCACUUCGCCUAGUUUAGGCCAGCAUCGGUUUUCGUAGGGAGAUAAAAGCUUCAGGAAUGUGGCUCCCUCGGGAGUGUUAUAGCCUGUUGUAUAAUAUCCUUAUGGGGACCGAGGUACGCGCUCUGCAAGGAUGCUGGCAUAAUGGUCAUCAGCGACCCGUCUUGAAACACGGACCAAGGAGUCGAACAUUUGUGCGAGUGUUUGGGUGUUAAACCCUCACGCGUAAUGAAAGUGAACGGAGGUGAGAGCCAUUUGGUGCAUCAUCGACCGAUCCUGAUGUCUUCGGAUGGAUUUGAGUAGGAGCAUAACUGUUCGGACCCGAAAGAUGGUGAACUAUGCGUGGAUAGGGUGAAGCCAGAGGAAACUCUGGUGGAGGCUCGCAGCGGUUCUGACGUGCAAAUCGAUCGUCAAAUCUGCGCAUGGGGGCGAAAGACUAAUCGAACCAUCUAGUAGCUGGUUACCGCCGA